rnacentral:rRNA from 1 species
CCUACGGGAGGCAGCAGUGGGGAAUAUUGCGCAAUGGGCGAAAGCCUGACGCAGCGACGCCGCGUGAGGGAUGACGGUCUUCGGAUCGUAAACCUCUGUCAGCAGGGAAGAACGGUCACUGUGCUAAUCAGCAGUGAAUUGACGGUACCUGCAAAGGAAGCACCGGCUAACUCCGUGCCAGCAGCCGCGGGAAUACGGAGGGUGGGAGCGUUAUCCGGAAUGAUUGGGCGUAAAGGGUGCGCAGGGGGUCCUGCAAAUCUGGAGUGAAACGCGUGAGCCUAAACCAUGCAUGGCUUUGGAAACUGGAGGACUUGAGAGAAGGAGAAGGCUGUGGAAUGCCAUGUGUAGCGGUAAAAUGCGUAGAUAUAUGGAAGAACACCAGUGGCGAAGGCGGCCGCCUGGCCUGUUGCUGACGCUGAGGCACGAAAGUGUGGGGAGCAAAUAGGAUUAGAUACCCGGGUAGUC